rnacentral:rRNA from 1 species
AUUGAACGCUGGCGGCAGGCUUAACACAUGCAAGUCGAACGAGUGGCGGACGGGUGAGUAAUGCAUGGGAAUCUGGCUUAUGGCGGGGGAUAACUACGGGAAACUGUAGCUAAUACCGCAUACCAUAGGAUGAGCCCAAGUGGGAUUAGGUAGUUGGUGGGGUAAAGGCUCACCAAGGCGACGAUCGCUAGCUGGUCUGAGAGGAUGACCAGCCACACUGGGACUGAGACACGGCCCAGACUCCUACGGGAGGCAGCAGUGGGGAAUAUUGCGCAAUGGGGGCAACCUGACGCAGCCAUGCCGCGUGUAUGAAGAAGGCCUUCGGGUUGUAAAGUUCUUUCGGUAGAGAGGCGUUAACUACAGAAGAAGCACCGGCUAACUCCGUGCCAGCAGCCGCGGUAAUUC